UGGUUUUAUGAUUAUUAGUACAACUUACAUACACAACUUUGAAUCCUGGUGCGAAGAAACUUUCAAACAUGAUUUUUUGACAUUUACGUUAAAUUAUCAUGAUGAAAUUGUAAAUUUCUUAGAUGUAAAUGUAAUUUUAUCAUCUGAAAACAAAAUCGAGACGUCGUUAUACAAAAAACCAAUGGCUAAACCCUUAUAUGCACACUAUUUUAGCAACCUACCAAAACAUUUAUUGCGAUCUUUACCAUUUAGUCAAGGAAUGAGAAUUGUAAGAAUAUGUACAGAUAAUAAUACUAAAAAUAAUGAAAUAGAAAUUAUGCUAAACCAUUUUCGUAAUCGUUGUUACCCAAAUAAUUUGUUAGUAGAUACAAAAACUAAACUUUAUCAACUAGACAGAUUUGAACUACUUACUCCCAACAAAAAGCUCAUAAUUGAAAACUUGUCUCUUUAUAAUGCAGACAUUUUGCAGAAAUUUAAGGUCAAAACAGAAACGAUCAAGACUCAGGAUAUAAAUACGAAGUAUAUUGUAAUGCCAUACUAUAAUGCUGUAUCAAAUUUAUCCAAAAUAGCAAUAGAUUUUAUACGAAAUGAAGCCAACAAGUCUAAUAAUGAUAAAUAUAAGCAUAUUGUGAACUCAUGGAAUAUGAUUUGUAGUUAUAAGAAAGUCAAUACACUUAAGGAUAUUUGUAAGUAAUACAUGGACAAGUACUGUUCUCAAAUUAAGUUAUGUAAAUCAUAAACGCUACGAAUGAUUUUUAGCUUGCCCACCACCACCACUAUUAAUACUUGUCCACACUGUUCAGUGUUAUUUUAUAAAUGUAUUUGUAGUUUUUGUUUCAAAAUUUGAACUAUUAAUCAUAAACUGUGAAACAGCGUGACAGUGGAAUUAAUCGCUUUUUAUAAGAAAAGAUGUCUUUACAAUUCGAGUAUAUUUAAUUUACACCAUAGCCUGAUGAAGUUAUUCGAAACCGGUCGCAAUGGUGAAUAAAUCUGAUCUUCAUUCAACAGUUUAAAGUGUUCAUUGUUCUUAUCAAAAAGUCAUUGUUCUCAGUAGCUAAAGCAGGCCUGGUCAGAUUUCGUGUUGAAGUCAAUAAAUCGUAAUUGUCAUUGGUA